rnacentral:tRNA from 1 species
GGAGCGGUAGUUCAGCUGGUUAGAAUACCUGCCUGUCACGCAGGGGUCGCGGGUUCGAGUCCCGUCCGUUCCG